rnacentral:tRNA from 1 species
GGGGUUGUAGCUCAGUGGUAGAGCACUUGCCUAGCAUGUGUGAGGCUCUGGGUUGGAUUCUCAGCACCA